GAACUGCUGAAGAGUCCGAUACUAGGACGAAACAACCUUCCAGUGC
rnacentral:hammerhead_ribozyme from 1 species